CAUUUUAGGAACUAUUAGCAGGCACAAAGAAAGGCUUAGAACAGCAGCUUUAAGAGUAACUAGAGCGUGUAGUAGCCAUCCUUUCCACCAGUGUGAGAGACUUGUGGAGACCGAGAUGAAGCAGGAGAAGCUGACGGACUCCAGAACAAAGUCAGGAAAUGAUGACAGCCUCCUUCUAAGAAAGCGAGAAAUCUUCCCGGCCUGCUUCAGAUGGAUACUCAAACCAGGGUUUUAGCAAAACACAUCUGACAGGCACUUCUAGGGACGGAGAGGGUGAUCACAGGUGAACAUGGAAAGCAAUGUGCUGAUCACUCAUAAAGGCCAGUGAACCCAAAGAAACACUGCCUGGUUUCUGUGAUCCUCAUCUUUGGUGUGAGCAAAGCUGGAUGCCUGUAGGCCAAGAGAUGUUCACUCCCUCUUGAAGCUUCCCAGUCCUAGGAUGUCUCCGUUUCCAGGCCAUUCUCCACUUUUAUCCUGCUCGCUGUCCAUGGAGCUGACCUGAGUACAAGGACCCUGUCCCGGAGGGCUUGAAGCACUCUUUAUGUCCCCAGAAGCUGAAGGAAGUGGGGGACUCACUAACCAGCCCAAGAUGGACAUGCAGCGCCUGAUGACAUUUGCUGUGGCUACAGUCUCCCUCGGGUCCAGGUAAACGCUCCUGCCCUUUGUACCUCCACCACCCACUGUCAGCAACCCUGGUGCUCCCUAGCCGCACACAGACAUCAGCAAAUAGUCCUUCAGCGAGUUCUCCUCAGUCCUUCCCCGCCCCCCACACACACACUUGAACGUUGUGUCAUCUGUCUCCAUCUGGAAUUCUGACUCCUAGACUCUAUGAGCCUGAUUGGAGAAAUUUCCAAAAUUUCACUCAGCUUCUGUUCUAGUGAAAAGGUUUUGAGCAAGCACUUUGUAAUGCUUAAACAAUCAAUACUAUUUCCCAAACUUUCUGAAUGCCUGGUAUGCUCGAGGGGCUGGACCAAACUGUCAGUGUGAUGUAAUGACAAUAGCAUCCCUUUGUAACUAUUUUAAAAUCCUUGCUUGCCUGGAAACCAGUGUCCUUAUGAGAAGUGCAUCAACUGAGAUCACAGCAUGGAUAAUUCAGUGGAAGAAGACGUGUUCCUAGGCGGAUUUCAUGCUUUACACGGUCAUUCUUUUGUGUUUACUUGUUAUUUCGUUUUGAGACAGGCAUUUGCUGUGCAAUUUAAGAUGGCCUCCCACUCACAAUCCUCCUGCCUCAGCCUCCCCACUGCUGGGAUUGCAGGCAUGCACCACCACACUUGACUCUGAGUGUCUAUGCUUCAUGGCCUCUUAUGAACGACCAUCAACACAAGGGUAUUGAAGAGAAUAAAGAGCGGCUAUUCCAAGGGCUUGAGAAAAGCAGGGCGCAGGCAUCAGGGAGAAGAGCAGCAGGUCCAGGCAAGAGACUGGGGUGGCUGGGUGAGAGGGUAGCAGUGGGAAAGGUAGAAAAAGAUCGAUUUACAUUUGCCUUCAAGAUGGAGCCAACGGGGGGGGGCACUGCUGUAUGGAAUGGGCAGGAUGGCUAUGGUAAGCCCCAGAGUCCAUCCCCGCGGUGUGGACACAAGCUCCUCACCCAAGGAAGACACAAACCACAUCUAUGUGUAUAUAACUCACUUCCCCAACCCAUCAAUAUCCGUCUUGCAUAAGAGACAGUUUCAUGAGUAACAUGGAGCUUCAGCCGCCCCGUAUCCUUUUCCAACUCAAACCCGGUCUCUCUGAAGGGCUUUGGGGAAGUUCAGUUUUUCCUUGAUGCCCCACCCCCACCACAGUAUUGCGAUACAGUAGCGAAGGAAGUAGAUUCCAGCUGCUGGAGCCUGGAGACAGGAGAAGCCUGGCAUGGGGGACAGGGACAAUGAGGUGGGGACACAGGGGGACACACAGCCGAAGAUGGAGGCUUCAGUAGUAGAAGGCAAUUAAGAUCACAGCUUGGAUCCAAAGUGGCCGUGGGGCUUAUGGGACAUGGAGAUGCAAGGGUUAGACAGUCGAAGCGUCUUAGACAACAGAAGAGCAGGCCAGGAAGGCAGGAUCUGCAUCAGAUGAGGCAGGGGGCCUGCUCAAGACCAAGAGAAUGGCUCUGGAACUCUCCCCAGGGGAGGCUGGAGCCCUUUCCCUUGUUUCUGUCUUGGCAAAGCAGAGCAGAAGAUAAAACAUAUAUCAUGUGGACAGCUCACAGAAUCACUCAUCUGAAAGGAUGCACUUGAAAUACACAUUUUGAUGGAACUAUGAAAUACACAAGGUAAGAAAAUACUCUGUUCAUAGUCCUUCUCUGUCACAUGUACUGCAUAGACAGCUACAUUUCUUUCCAGCCCGUUUCCUAUGUGCAAACGGAAGGCUGAAAUCAAUUUUAUUUUUCUACAUCAGUAUUGCACAUGACUCAGUUAGUCAAGUGCUUGAGGUCCUGAGUUUGGUUCCCCAAAACUCAUGGGAAAAGCUGAGUAUGGUGGGUGUGCCUACAAUCCCAGCAGUGGGAAGACAGACACAGGGAUUCCUGUGGCUUGCUGGCCAGGUGGACUAGCCAAAGCCCUGAGCUCCAGGUUCAGUGAGUGACUUUAUUUUUAAAAUAAGUUGGAGAGAGACUGAGGGAGAUACCUGACAUCAACUUUCUUUUCUACACAUACAUGCGGGUGCAUCUGAACACACAGACUUAGCAUUCAAAACCAAUAAUACGCACCAGUUUGGUCGCCCUCAGAUUUCCUGAUGUCACCUAAGCAGAACAGUUCAGUCCAAGGGUGCUGGGGACGCUGCACUGACAGUGUCUGUUUUAGUGCAGCAUCCUACAGGGUGUUCAAAAGCCACAUGAGUCUCACUUGUAAAAGAUGUUCUACGUUUAAGGAACCAAAACCUAUAACCCGUGACUCCCUGCAUCCAGGAUGGAGUUCAGACUAUAUGGCGAAUUUGUAUUAGAUUAUUAGAGAUAGCAAACUCAUCAAAUUUUGGCACAACACUUUCUUUUUUUCUAGCAUUUGUGAGCCUUUAUUCCGUCCCAGGCCUCAUGGACCUCAUGGAGCGUCUCUGUUUCACAGACACAGAAGCAGAGGCGUGGAGACGUGCUCAGGGCCACAGGGCUGGUCAGUGAAGGAGGUGGGAAGAGGGUGGUGCUCUUGACCAUUCCCCUCCCUUCUUAUGCAACAUGCCUCCCCUGUCACCAGUGGGUUGUGUGACCGCACACACUGCUGAGUCUCUGUGGGUUUCCAAUUUUCUAUUCUUCAGAGGCUGGGUUAGAAGUUCUGCUCUCUGUACUCCCUGAUCCACUUUACCUCCUCAGGAGGCUUUCAGGGAUGCACCCCAUUCCUGGUCACACAGGGUAUCUGUAGGUACCGGGGUUUCUGACUCUGCAGGGAGCUUACAGUCUAGUAGGGGUCAUGAGCGGUGUCACAAGAAAGUGAAUAAUUAAUUCCGCAAGUGCGGUUCAGGGCACAGAGUGAGAAAGCAGCUGAAUGGGUUUUGCUUAUUGGAAAAUGGAUCGUCAUCAUCUUAAAAUGUUUGCUGAAAACCACUUCUCUAUUAGGCAAGGGCUAGACGUGCUUGUUGGUGGACGUGUCAUCAUAUGACUCCAAGUUCGGUCCCAAUUCGUCCAACGUUGAGCUAAGGAGCUGUGGGCAGCUGGCGGAUAUGCAACAUCUCAACAAAAGCAUGAACACUUCGAGGGCGUGUUAGCCUUUCCUUCACACAAUCUAUAUGUUGCAACAUCUGCUCCACACGGAUAUACACGAGAAGGCGAGUGUUAAGGAAGCAGAACUCAGGGGGGCAGCGGUCAGUGGAUUGUGUAGACUUGCUGAGGGAAUCCUGCCGUGGAGAGACUGUGCAAGCUGAAGCUGGGGUUUUCGACGGCAGAGGACUAGCUGUGAGCAGAAACUGUUUGAUCUUGACAGCGAGAGCUGAGCUCGAACCACCCCAAGAGCCAGCGCACAGGAGCGAGCUCUUUAAAGCACUGGGCUUCUUGGCUUCACUAAGCAAGCAGAAGAAUGAGUCUUUGAUUGGCUUAGACUCACCACGUGACCUCUCAGAGCCUAUGGCAGGGGAGGUGGUAUGUCCCAGGAUGUCCCAUCUCCCAUUCUGCCCCGUCUGCUGCUGGGAAAACUCCUCUCUGGCUUUGCGCCUGUACCAUCGUUCAUUCUAACGUUGCAAGGGCAACAGCAUCCGCUUCCAAGGUUUCAACGUUCCAUAGCUGGCAAUGGAUCCUCAGCUCCAGAGACCCAGCUAAGAGCUCUGGAGUCACAUGUGUAGCUGCCCUCUGGGUUCCUGCUUCUCAUCUAAAGUCCCUCAAACCUGCCUCCUACACCUAUUAUUCAGUGAAUGGGCAUCACUGAUGCUCACUGUCUCCCGUUACAAACAGCACUUCCCUUCUCUGUAAUGUCUUUUCAACGCAUUGGGUCACCGUGGGACCUCGGAGCUUGACACUGUCUACCUAUGACAACACUUCCAUGGGCUCCUUGCCUUUUGUUUUUGAACCCAUUCUCCAUACAGUAGCCAAGAGGUACAAAUGAAAUGUGACUUCCCUCACUCUCUGUAGGCGGUCAGCGGCUUCAGUGGCUUAGCCUAAUCAUGGGUUCCCACUGGGGCCCUGCUUAUCUCUCCACUGGUCACUACUAUCGCAGGCCUCUGACGUAGGACUCUGACCUUAGAGAUCAGAAAAAAGAAGAGCUGAAUUUGUUAAAAUGAAAAUCAACACAAUUUCCACUCUUCCCUAGUUCUGAUACAAGUGUUUCUGAUAUCAAUUAAUCUGAGCAAUCUGCUCAGUGACAACAAAGCCACCCAAGAUAAACCCAGAAGAUAAGCAAUGAAAGAAAGAUGGUCUUUUCUGUUUUCCCUGGUUACAGCCAACCACUCCUCCAUUGCUCCCUCACUGGACCUCGCUUGUAACUCUCUUUCGCAGUCUGCGGUUAUCUGUUUAUUUCUUCGGUGUAUCUUUUCCUUUGCACACUGACAUCCUGGGUUUCCGGAAGAUGUGCCUGCCGGUAUCUUCUAUGCAGGACAUAGCUUUGAUGCAAUGCUUCCGGCUGAGGAGAGUCUCAUGAGAAUGCAAUUGUAAUUCUUAAAUCACAGUAGUAGGUCUCUGAUUUUCAUCACAAACAUCUGUUUCUUUAAGACGGCCUGCUGUCAAAGUAUCCCUCUAUGUUACAAAGGAUUAGCGCUCUUACUAAGUGAUUUGCUCAUAGAAACCACUAUAGAGAAGAUCAGUUCCCAAGAGGAAACUUGACCAGAGGCAAUGCCAUACAUCCUAGCAAAGAAGCAAUGCAAAUGUCCGUCAGGUAUGCGGCAGGAGCCCAGUCUCCUGUGUGGAAUGCAGACAGCUGUUGGCAGGAUGUGAGGAAUGGUACUCAAAUAUACUCCUUGUGGGAUGUCAACCUGUUAGAACCUUUCUAGGAGGAAAUCAAGUGAUUCAAAAGGUAGAGUUUUCUACUCUUAAGCCAGCCUUUCCAGGGCCUGUGUGCUUCAGGAAUAAUCAGAUAAGGAUACUUAGUUUAUAAGGGAGCUCGGUAAGUGAAACACUGUUAACAAUCGUUCAAACGCAGAUACAUCAAACUCUCAUCAGUGGUGGCUUGGCUAAACAACUAGUGGAAUACAAUGCAGCAUAGAAGCAGAUCUCUAGAGUUCUGUACUUUUACAAGGACAGAUGGCCGUAGCCCACAAUGUAUUAAGUGAACAGGCGGGUUGUGAAACAUUUUACCACCUACCUCCCCAGCCUCCUUUCCUUUCAUUCAUCUAUCAAGUAGGAAGUGAAAGAGUAUGUAUCAGAUCACAAAUGUCAAUUACCACAGAAUAAAUUUAACUUAUUACUGAUUGCACAUUUUAUUUUCUAUCAGAUCUUGAAGAUUUGGUAAGGAACAUGUAUUGCACUUAGAAUAGCCAAGACGACAAAUACUGCCUUUUGGGGAAAAGGUUUUCUUCUUAAAGGGGCAGUUUGAGAGACUUACCUCUGCAAAUACAUGUCACAACAGUAACAUUUUUUUGUGAGGGACCUCAGAUUGGUGACUUAGUUCUUGUCUGAAAGGUCUCAUAUAAUAUGUGAUCUAUACUGCUUUUUUUCCUCUGUCUUUUACUAAUUCUAAGAAAGUGCAACAUAAAAAAUUUAGUCUGUUCCUACUCCAGCAUAGGGGAAAAUCACACUGUUUUGAACUACCAGUGGAUAACACAUGGAUAAUAGACAUUUCAUGUAGUUCCUCUUCCGUCGGACUCCCCUCAUCUGUCCUUUUAAACAUCUCAGACUACAGAACAAAUUCUUGUAAUGACUGGAUCAAAGUUGUGCAAAUUUGAAAUUUUGAGUUACUGUUGCUUUCUCUAAUAUAAAUGUGCCACCAAGACAAAACUA